rnacentral:tRNA from 1 species
UUAAGUAUAGUUAAAGGAAAAUAAUAUCAUGUUUUCGUCAUGAAGAUCUUGGAAAGUGCUUAUU